CUCUCUCUGGCCCUCCCCCACUCACACUCUGUCUCUCUCUGCCUCUCAAAAAUAAAUAAAAAUGUAAAAAAAAAACCACAAAGUUUGCAUAUAAUUGGAGGUCUUACAGAACGUCAUGGAUGAGCUUCAGGAUUCAACCAGUGGAGAGAGAUCAGAGACACCAGCCAUAGCUGGUAAUAUGUCCCACAGCAGGAAGAGCACCAAAAGAUGGGUAGGAUUUUGAUGAGGGGAAGAAAGGAAGAGGAAGAAAGCAGGAACAUUCUAAGCAUCAGAAAGAAUUGUAGCAAAGAAAAAACAGAAAAAUGCCAUGGUAGAUUUGGAGGUCAUGAAAGGACCAGUAUCUGGAUCAGAAAGUUCUCAGGAGAGAGCAGUAGAACAGGUUGCUGCCAAAAGUGCUUUCUGGGUGUUCACUUCCGGUGUGAAGAUUCUUUAGUGUGUUUGAAGAUUAACACCAUUUGUGAAUAUUGAGUAUCUCUCACUUCUUUUUUUUUUCUUUUUUUGCAGGAGCUCAUUUACAAACCUUUUAAAGGUCAUGUAGCUUCAUGACACAACUCAGUGUAGUCAUUUGUUAGGAAGGACAGAUAUUAUGGGCUCCUUAAAGAAUGAGAGUUUUGACCUAGUGGUGGUUGAUGCUAUAGGAUCGUUACACUUUCCUGGUUGCUGAGAAGCUUGGAAGGCUGUCUGUGACCUCUUUACUAGCACAUUUGGAAUAUCAAUUUUGGGCUGUCUGAACCUGUGUCUUGCAUGUCCUCCCUGACAGAUCACAUGGAUUUCUGAGACCAGGUGAAGAACUCUCUGAUGUUCUUCAUUUCAACCUUGAGCAAAUGGUAUAUAUUCAUACUCAGUUUGAUGACACUAUCAAGGAACAUUUCCCAGAAGGCUCUAGGCCAGAGCUAUUUCAUCUUCAACUGAAAGCAGAGCUGGGGUUUGUUAGUUUUGGCUUUGGCUUUGUCUUUGCCUUUGCCUGGCCACAGCUUCCCAACACUGUGUAUGUUGGACACUUAAUGGCCAAACCUGAUGAGCCAAUACUUCAGAGUUUAAACCAUGAUGUUGAAUAAAAGUGAUGAGAGCUGACAUCUCUACUUUGUUCCUGUCUUAGGUGGAAAGAGUUCAAUAUUUUACCGAGAGAGACACACACAGAGUGCGAGCAGGGGAGGAGCAGAGAGAGGGAGACACAGAUCUGAA